CCAGGGUUCUACUUGCCAUGUCCUCAGCAGUCCUCACGUGCCACCUUUUCUGAAGCAGCAUGGGCCUCCACACCUCCUGCAGGACCCAGCUCAGUCUGGAAUUAUGAAAAUUCUUGAAGGACAGUUUCUCUCCUCCCCUGACUACUUGGGCCACUUUACCAACUGCUUGGAGAUGAGGAUAUAGCAGCCUUCCAGGUCAAGGCCUAUCAGACCCCCGGCAGCAGGAAGCAGUCUCAGCCGGCAGCUCUGGGCCCAGCUGUUCAGGGGAAACAGGACGAUUGGGAGCCUCUAAGGAGGAUGAGAGCGCAAGAAGGUCCAAGCCCAGUGCCUAGGAUUCCAGUGAGUGUGGUUCCUUUAGGGAGCAAUUCGCAAAAGAGCCGAGCGCUUUCAAGGCCGGGAGACCGCUCGUCGGUGAACAUCGGGGACCGGAAGAGCUGCUGAGGCUGACCGUCUCCAAGGGCCGGGAGCCCCAGACGUCCAACUAUGGCAGGGACAGGUCACAAGCUCUGUUCCCCUUCCUUCCUGACACAUGGUCAUGUGAAGGGGAGCUCGUGGACCCGUCACAGCCCCGAGACCACCGAGCCCCAAAAGGGAACUCAGAGGCGCAGAAGCUUCCGCUUCAGAGCGGGGGACAGACUUCCAGGGCCGCCUCACAUUCCCGUAGGCGUCUGACACCUCGGACCCCGGGUCGCCUCCUCCCUCUCCCCGCGCUCCACUAGGCAGCAGCCCGUUCAGGCCUAGCAGGCUACCGUACCGGAAGGUGUCUUCGAUCUCAUUGAUGGUUGUAUCCUUUUCUACCACCAGGAAAUUAGGGUGGCGAUUCUUGUUAAGCUCCCCUAUGCCGCCCAGGAGAAAACCAGUGACCGUAUCUUCAUCUCCAAUCACUGCGAUUAGCUUCCCCCUCCCCGCCAUCUCCGCAGCACUCAGCGAUCACUCCUACACCGGAAGUCGCCAAAGCCCUGCCCCCGCAGUGCGUCACCGAGCCGACCUCAGCCCCUCCCUUCAGUCAUGCGCAAUUCCACCACCGCUGCUUCGGGAUAUGCGCAUUAGCAACAACGAGGCUUCCUACUGAAUACGUCUACGCCACACAGAGAGACCCGAACCAGGACCCUGCGCUUUCGAGGCAGGAGGCAGAACCACUGAGCUAAAUCCCCGGUCUCCAUCAACCUUCUGAAUUGAGCGCUGCUAGACGCUGAGACCCCCCAACGAAGAAGGUCGGAGUCAGGGUAGCAGAGGGGCCCACGCCCGGCACACACCUGGAGGCUGGUGACCGUGAGACGGCGAGCAUCAUCCGAGAGGGAGGCCACGGGUACCACGAAGGGGCUGUCUGGGAUGUGCUCAUCAUUGAACUUGAUGGAGACCUCAUAGUCACCUGGGAAGGGAAGGGCAGCCGGUCAGCAAGGGCCUAGGUGGGGAUGGUGGGGCUGACUCCCACACUCCCAGCCUCAUCCCAGGACAAGUUCCUUGGGUCAGGGCUCGGCUCUGAGGACAGACAAGUACUCCCAGGGGAGGGUGGAGGAGAUGGGAGAGAGAGAGCAGAGCCGGUGAGGUGAGUCCUGCAGCCCCAGGCAUCUUCAGCCUGGUCAGUGAGC